rnacentral:rRNA from 1 species
AUUCCCCUAGUAACUGCGAGUGAAGCGGGAAAAGCUCAAAUUUAAAAUCUGGUGGUCUUUGGCCAUCCGAGUUGUAAUUUAGAGAAGCGUCUUCCGCGCUGGACCGUGCACAAGUCUCCUGGAAUGGAGCGUCAUAGAGGGUGAGAAUCCCGUCUUUGGCACGGACACACCAGGGCUUCUGUGAUGCGCUCUCGAAGAGUCGAGUUGUUUGGGAAUGCAGCUCAAAAUGGGUGGUGAACUCCAUCUAAAGCUAAAUAUUGGCGAGAGACCGAUAGCGAACAAGUACCGUGAGGGAAAGAUGAAAAGCACUUUGGAAAGAGAGUGAAACAGUACGUGAAAUUGUUGAAAGGGAAACGCUUGAAGUCAGUCGCGUCGACCGAGACUCAGCCUUGCCUUGGCUUGGUGUACUUCUCGGCUGACGGGUCAGCAUCAAUUUUGCCCCUUGGAUAAUGGUGAGGGAAAUGUGACACCUUUAUGGUGUGUUAUAGUCUCUCGUCGCAUGCAAGGGUUGGGAUUGAGGAACUCAGCACGCGCCUUUGGGUGUCGGGGCUUUGCCCACGAUACGUGCUUAGGAUGUUGGCAUAAUGGCUUUAAACGACCCGUCUUGAAACACGGACCAAGGAGUCUAACAUGCCUGCGAGUGUUCGGGUGGAAAACCCGUGCGCGCAAUGAAAGUGAAAGUCGGGACCUCUGUCGUGGAGGGCACCGACGCCCGGACCAGACCUUCUGUGACGGCUCUGCGGUAAAGCAUGUAUGUUAGGACCCGAAAGAUGGUGAACUAUGCCUGAAUAGGGUGAAGCCAGAGGAAACUCUGGUGGAGGCUCGUAGCGAUUCUGACGUGCAAAUCGAUCGUCAAAUUUGGGUAUAGGGGCGAAAGAC